rnacentral:rRNA from 1 species
CAGUCGCUCGGGAAUACAGAGGGUGCGAGCGUUAAUCGGAUUUACUGGGCGUAAAGCGUGCGUAGGCGGCUUUUUAAGUCGGAUGUGAAAUCCCUGAGCUUAACUUAGGAAUUGCAUUCGAUACUGGGAAGCUAGAGUAUGGGAGAGGAUGGUAGAAUUCCAGGUGUAGCGGUGAAAUGCGUAGAGAUCUGGAGGAAUACCGAUGGCGAAGGCAGCCAUCUGGCCUAAUACUGACGCUGAGGUACGAAAGCAUGGGGAGCAAACAGGAUUAGAUACCCGGGUAGUCCCUGUCUCUUAUACA